rnacentral:rRNA from 1 species
UACAGAGGUCUCAAGCGCUGUUCGGGUUCAUUGGGCGUAAAGGGUGCGUAGGUGGCGCUGUAAGUCGGGUGUGAAAUUUCGGAGCUUAACUCCGAAACUGCAUUCGAUACUGCGGUGCUUGAGGACUGGAGAGGAGACUGGAAUUCAUGGUGUAGCAGUGAAAUGCGUAGAGAUCAUGAGGAAGACCAGUGGCGAAGGCGGGUCUCUGGACAGUUCCUGACACUGAGGCACGAAGGCCAGGGGAGCAAACGGG